AAAUUUUGAUAUGUUUUUG
rnacentral:miRNA from 1 species